rnacentral:lncRNA from 1 species
GGACGUCUCACACGUCCCUGGCAAGCGAUCUUUGUGGUGAAAUGCUCCACACAUUCACAAGACUGUGUGAAAGAGACUGAGACAGUUGAGAAGAUAAUCCUGUGGACGCUGUGCCCUUUAGAUAUAAAGUUACUCACACCUAAGCAGCUUUCGUGUGCCUCCCUGCCAGACCUCCCUCCUCUCCCCGCAUCCCUGUGUACGCAGCACCAGACAAUGCGCCGUCUCAGCACCCUGGGAGGAGACCGUGCACACGAACUGGGCUGGGGAGGGUUUCACACAGGGCCUGCCUAAAAGGGUGUGAGUAGAGGUGCGGGAAACCACAGGGAGGACAGGGAGGCUUGGAGCUGGAACCUGGUCGCCAUGACCACCCUUAGACCUGAAGGGUCAAGAUGAAGGAGUGGGAGCAGAGCUCUGCAGGAAGCCAGGACUGCAUCUGGCUUUAGUGCCCAGAACAUUCCCUCAAGCCUAUUCUGAAACUCCAGCCAGAGUUGAGAAAGAGCAGGGCUAGGUGUGGCCAGGUUCUGCACACCUUUCUGCCCUAAUCUUUCCUCCUAAGAUCACCUCUGCGGUAGGGCAGCAGGCAAGGACAGAAAGCACAGGCGCCCCUGCACAUGGCCAGGACCAGGCAAGUGGUGCUCAACUGAAUGCCUGCUGAGGUGCGGGGCUCCAUAUCAACCCAGGAGACAGGGAAAGAAGUGUUUCCGACCCUCCUGGAGGUGCCACUGUAGUGGAGGGAGAGGCAACAGCAGGAGACAGCGCAUUCCCAGAACAGAUCAUCCCGAUGAUAAGGCCUGCCAGUACAACAAACCAGGAGCACGAGCCGAGGUCGCCGGAGGGUCAGAGAAACCUCCUCCUUCAGAGAUGAUGUCUGAGCGGAGCUGAUCAGACAUCUGGGAGAGAAUAUUCCAAGCAGAGGGAAGAGCUGAAGGGUUUCCAGAGGUGGAACAGUCUCUUGCUGCCCAAGUUUGAACAAGAGGAUGGAGCUGAUGAAGAGAAAGAGGGGGGAAACUCGGGUCAGAC